UGAGGAAUAUUGGUCAAUGGGCGGAAGCCUGAACCAGCCAUGCCGCGUGAAGGACUAGGGCCCUACGGGUCGUAAACUUCUUUAGACGCAGAGCAAUAAGGUCCACGCGUGGACCGAUGAGAGUAUGCGUAGAAUAAGCAUCGGCUAACUCCGUGCCAGCAGCCGCGGUAAUACGGGGGAUGCGAGCGUUAUCCGGAUUCAUUGGGUUUAAAGGGAGCGCAGGCCGUGGGUUAAGCGUGUCGUGAAAUUCCGUCGCUCAACGGCGGACGUGCGGCGCGAACUGGUCCACUUGAGUACGCGGGACGUUGGCGGAAUUCGUGGUGUAGCGGUGAAAUGCUUAGAUAUCACGAAGAACUCCGAUUGCGAAGGCAGCUGACGGUAGCGCAACUGACGCUGAGGCUCGAAAGUGC
rnacentral:rRNA from 1 species